UGUUGUAUAUUUUAACUAAGUAAUUUAUUUUAAAGUUAAUUAUUGUAUAAUGAUUAAAUUAAUUACUUUUAGACCAAGUCAUAACAUAGUACACGUUUUGUUUAAUUCCUAUUUACUUGGUUUUUAAUCCUAGUUAUUAGGAUUGGAGGUUAUGUUUGGUACUAUUUAAUAGAGCAUGAGUAUAUUAUAUAGAGAGAUAUGAUUGUGUGGGACGAGAAAAAAAAAGGGG
rnacentral:lncRNA from 1 species